rnacentral:rRNA from 1 species
CGCGCAGGCGGAUCAGCAAGUCAGAUGUGAAAUCUCGGAGCUCAACUCCGAAACUGCGUCUGAAACUGCUAGUCUAGAAUGUCGGAGGGGGCAGGGGAAUUUCACGUGUAGGGGUAAAAUCCGUAGAGAUGUGAAGGAACACCGGAGGCGAAGGCGCCUGCCUGGACGACUAUUGACGCUGAGGCGCGAAAGCGUGGGGAGCAAACA